rnacentral:rRNA from 1 species
GUGCAGCAGGCGAGAAUUUUUCUCAAUGGGGACAACCCUGAAGGAGCGACGCCGCGUGGAGGAUGAAGGCUUUCGGGUUGUAAACUCCUGUCAUUUGGGAACAAGUUGGACGCAGUAACUACGCGUCCAUUGAUAGUACCAGAAGAGGAAGGGACGGCUAACUCUGUGCCAGCAGCCGCGGUAAUACAGAGGUCCCAAGCGUUGUUCGGAUUCAUUGGGCGUAAAGGGUGCGUAGGUGGCGCCGUAAGUGGGGUGUGAAAUUUCGGAGCUUAACUCCGAAACUGCAUUCCAUACUGCGGUGCUUGAGGACUGGAGAGGAGACUGGAAUUCAUGGUGUAGCAGUGAAAUGCGUAGAGAUCAUGAGGAAGACCAGUGGCGAAGGCGGGUCUCUGGACAGUUCCUGACACUGAGGCACGAAGGCCAGGGGAGCAAACGGGAUUAGAUACCCCGGUAGU